rnacentral:rRNA from 1 species
CAUGCAAGUCGAGCGGUAAGGCCCUUCGGGGUACACGAGCGGCGAACGGGUGAGUAACACGUGGGUGAUCUGCCUCGCACUCUGGGAUAAGCCUGGGAAACUGGGUCUAAUACCGGAUAUGACCAUUGAUCGCAUGGUUGGUGGUGGAAAGAUUUAUCGGUGCGAGAUGGGCCCGCGGCCUAUCAGCUUGUUGGUGGGGUAAUGGCCUACCAAGGCGACGACGGGUAGCCGACCUGAGAGGGUGACCGGCCACACUGGGACUGAGACACGGCCCAGACUCCUACGGGAGGCAGCAGUGGGGAAUAUUGCACAAUGGGCGAAAGCCUGAUGCAGCGACGCCGCGUGAGGGAUGACGGCCUUCGGGUUGUAAACCUCUUUCGACAGGGACGAAGCGUGAGUGACGGUACCUGUAGAAGAAGCACCGGCCAACUACGUGCCAGCAGCCGCGGUAAUACGUAGGGUGCGAGCGUUGUCCGGAAUUACUGGGCGUAAAGAGCUUGUAGGCGGUUCGUCGCGUCGAUUGUGAAAACUUGCAGCUCAACUGCAAGCUUGCAGUCGAUACGGGCGGACUAGAGUACUUCAGGGGAGACUGGAAUUCCUGGUGUAGCGGUGAAAUGCGCAGAUAUCAGGAGGAACACCGGUGGCGAAGGCGGGUCUCUGGGAAGUAACUGACGCUGAGAAGCGAAAGCGUGGGUAGCGAACAGGAUUAGAUACCCUGGUAGUCCACGCCGUAAACGGUGGGUACUAGGUGUGGGUUUCCUUCCACGGGAUCCGUGCCGUAGCUAACGCAUUAAGUACCCC